UUGUUUGACGAGCUUGUCAAGCCGACCACUUCCGGGUUGCGUGGUUCGGUGUUUGUGUAGGCUGGUAGGAUAUCAGUCCUGGCAUUAACGUGACUGACGCGGAUGGUAUUGGUAGCUGCUGGACGAGUAAAUGUAAUUGUGCCAGAAAAUCAGGUCCAGACAACGGAGGACCGAAUCAAGGAACUGGAGGAGCAGCUGGAACAGUUAAGGACAGAAAAUGAGGGACUUGUAACAGCAUCUCAGCCGGACAGUGGGCCUAUGGCGGUUGAUUCAGAGAGGAAGCGAGUUGUGUACCUUCAGCAAGACCGUAAUUGCCCCAAGUUCUCUGGGUGCCUCGAUCGGGCCGACUCUCUUGCUAUAGAAGAUUGGAUUGAAGGGGUUGAAAGUCAUGUUCAAACCAAACAAUUUUCUCAAAGAGAAAAAGCCCUGUUUGUGUAUAAUCA